UAUUCUUGAUCAGGCUGGAUUUCCAGAGGUUGGAGUUUAUCGGAUGUCGGAUGAACACAUUGGUUGCUCUUUGGCUGAAGCUGCAUCCAGUCCAUCAUACAUGGAUUAUCUUACAACAGCUUCAGUUUCUUCUCCAUCUCUGCAUGUUGUCUACAUAAAUACCUCCCUGGAGACAAAAGCAUAUUCCCAUGAGCUUGUUCCAACCAUAACAUGUACUUCCUCUAAUGUUGUGCAAACUAUUCUACAGGCAUUUGCUGAAGUACCUGACUUGAA
rnacentral:misc_RNA from 1 species